rnacentral:lncRNA from 1 species
GUUUCUUCCCCCUACCAUUGUGGCUGGUGCCACUCUAUACUCAGUGGCAUGUAUGGUGGAUUAGUUCUUUUCAGCAUGUUACUUCUGUAUGAUACUCAAAAAGUAAUCAAGUGUGCAGAAGUAGUACCAGCAUAUGGAUUUCAAAAAUAUGAUCCCAUCAAUUUGAUGUUGGGAAUCUACAUGGAUACACUAAAAAUAUUUAUGUGAAUUACAAGUAUGCUAGCAUCUGGAGGCAACAGAAAGAAGUGAAGUAACAGCUUCUGGCUUCGCUACUGAAUUAGAUGUCUUACUUGUUUAACAGCAGAUAUUUGUCACAUACUUUGUACAAGCAGCUUUCCAUGAAGUUUAGAAGUUAGGAACAUAUGUUAUCAACAUGUUUAAGAUGUUCCAAUAAUGUGAUCCUUCAGGUUUGCUUUUUUUUUUCUAGAGAAUAAACUCAAUAAUUCUCUUCUAAAUAAGCACAUACAUUUCCAAUUCCCAUUUUUAAAAAUACUAUAACAAAAUAUGAAAUCUAAGUUUUGUGUUGUAAGAAUUUUAGCUUUUAAGUUUAUUGGGUUAAAUUUAGCAAACUCAUGUUUGCCUGCAUAUUUGGGGAGAUGCAGAAUGUUGAAAAAUAUGGGUUUUGGUAUAGAGACCAGAGAGAAGUAAAACAUCAUCUGUAGUCUUUUGUUGAAUACUUAAUAUAUCUUAGUUAUGUGAUCAUGAGAAACUAAUAAGAGUCAUCUAGGUAUUUGGAAACAGUUGCUAUUUUCCCAUGUGUCUAUGAAACAGAGGUGAUUAAAUUUGCUCUGCUUCUCAUUGCUGUCUUUACAUUGUGGAUGUAAAGAUUGGCUUUUCAUUGUUUGGGCAGUUCAGAAUGUUAAUCAUAUGGAGAAUUCCUGAUAGAAUUAUGUGAGUUUACUUUUGAAUAUUUUGUUUCAAGAUAAAAUAUUUAUUCAUAACAUUCCACU